CUACGUGCCAGCAGCCGCGGUAAUACGGAAGGUCCAGGCGUUAUCCGGAUUUAUUGGGUUUAAAGGGAGCGUAGGCGGACGAUUAAGUCAGCUGUGAAAGUUUGCGGCUCAACCGUAAAAUUGCAGUUGAAACUGGUUGUCUUGAGUGCACGCAGGGAUGUUGGAAUUCAUGGUGUAGCGGUGAAAUGCUUAGAUAUCAUGAAGAACUCCGAUCGCGAAGGCAUAUGUCCGGAGUGCAACUGACGCUGAGGCUCGAAAGUGCGGGUAUCGAACAGGAUUAGAUACCCUGGUAGUCCGCACAGUAAACGAUGAAUACUCGCAGUAUGCGAUAUAAUGUAUGCUGCCAAGUGAAAACGUUAAGUAUUCCACCUGGGGAGUACGCCGGCAACGGUGAAACUCAAAGGAAUUGACGGGGGCCCGCACAAGCGGAGGAACAUGUGGUUUAAUUCGAUGAUACGCGAGGAACCUUACCCAGGCUUGAAC
rnacentral:rRNA from 1 species